rnacentral:rRNA from 1 species
AAAUUGAAGAGUUUGAUCAUGGCUCAGAUUGAACGCUGGCGGCAGGCCUAACACAUGCAAGUCGAGCGGAAACGAGUUAUCUGAACCUUCGGGGGACGAUAGCGGCGUCGAGCGGCGGACGGGUGAGUAAUGCCUAGGAAAUUGCCCUGAUGUGGGGGAUAACCAUUGGAAACGAUGGCUAAUACCGCAUGAUGCCUACGGGCCAAAGA